rnacentral:rRNA from 1 species
UACGGAGGAUGCAGGCGUUAUCCGGAUUUAUUAGGUUUAAAGGGUGCGUAGGCGGCUCUUUAAGUCAGUGGUGAAAGUUUGCAGCUCAACUGUAAAAUUGCCAUUGAUACUGGAGAGCUUGAAUAUGGUAGAGGUAGGCGGAAUGUGUAGUGUAGCGGUGAAAUGCUUAGACAUUACACAGAACACCAAUUGCGAAGGCAGCUUACUAUGCCAUUAUUGACGCUGAGGCACGAAAGCGUGGGGAGCGAACAGG